CUGUGCCAAAAUACUCACUUCCUUUUCAGCCAUUUUAAGAAUACAGAAAAACGGAGUUUGGGUUGCUAGCUACCUCGUGAUAUAAAUCAGUUGUUCAUAACAACUGAACGAUGAUAAUUAGCUAAUUGGAUGUGUUAACUGAACAGCAGGCCAAAUCAAUUCCAUCAAAAGUGGGAUUAUUGUCGCGUUGUAAUAAUGCAAUGGCCCUACGGCCCUGUCACAUCACUUCGAGCACUCAUCACUUAUCGACAUGACAGAUGUUACCGCAGGGAUCAAGGAGCGGUGUAGAGUCGUCGUUGAAAUGGGAUACUUUAUUACUUUUACUUUCUUUUACUUAGAAGUCCACUAUAGGUACUUAGUCCACCCUAGGCUAGCUAUCUGUGGGAUUCUCCUUAGAUAUAAUCUAUCUUCGUAUAUGUAGCCUUCUAGGCAAACGUUUUAUAG
rnacentral:sRNA from 1 species